GAUGAAGAACGCAGCGAAAUGCGAUAAGUAAUGCGAAUUGCAGAAUUCAGUGAGUCAUCGAAUCUUUGAACGCACAUUGCGCCCUGUGGUAUUCCGCAGGGCAUGCCUGUUCGAGCGUCAUUUCAACCCUCAAGCCCCGCUUGGUGUUGGGCCCCGCCCGCCGUGGCCGGCCCUAAAGACAGUGGCGGCGCCGCCUGGCCCUCAGCGUAGUACAGCUCUCGCUCCAGGGUCCGGCGGCCGCCUGCCAGAACCCCCCCAACUCUGUGGUUGACCUCGGAUCAGGUAGGGAUACCCGCUGAACUUAAGCAUAUCAAUAAGCGGAGA
rnacentral:misc_RNA from 1 species